rnacentral:lncRNA from 1 species
GAUUCUUAUAUUCUUUCAUAGUAAUACAGUAUUUAUUGUCCACAAUUUUACUUUUACAAAAUGAUAAUGCAGAGAGCAUGGCACAUUGGAAUUACUGGAACAUUCAAGUCCUUGGAAGCUAUGAAACUGAAGGCCUGAGUUUCUCCCUGACUAUCAGCCAGAAGCUCCACAGUUCCUUUACACAUAGGCCUCUCCUUUGGGAAAAUAACAUGGUGACUGGCUUCCAUCAGAGUCCAGAAGAGGACAACAGAGGGUAAGCAAGAAAGAACAAGUAAGACAGAAGGCAGAAUCUUCUAGGAAACUACUUCAGUAGUAACAUUCACCACUUCUCCAUUUCUUUAUCAGUUGAAAGUUACCAAGUCCAGCACAUACUCAGGGGGACGAGAUUACUCAAGAACAUAGGACUGGAAGGCAAGUCCAUGAGCUGUCUGCCACCCUUAGCGCUGCAGGCUGA